AACUCUUUGACUCCUCUUGAAUUUGAUGUAGACUUGCUGUCAGGAGGAGAGCCUUGAAUGUGAGGAAGACAGUUGGAGAGUCGACUUCAAUGCACUUCUUCCUUCUUUUUCGUGUAAUCACUCUAGAGAGCUUUUGGUUGGUGAAAAUCCCUUUAGCUUUGAAUGGAGUCUCUCUUUCUUACUCUAUUACUGUUCACUCAGGCUAUUUAAGCCAUUCCCAAAGAAAAAU
rnacentral:lncRNA from 1 species